UUUCAAAGAUGGUUUGGCUGCCUUGGAGAUUUGGAGAUCUGAUGCCACAAUGAGGACUCACACACGGGGAGCUCCCAGUGUGUUUUUCAUAUGUCUGCUUUGCCUGGGGUCAGCCUCUACCACAGAUGAGAACCCAGAAGUCAUGAUUCCCUUCACCAACGCCAACUACGACAGUCACCCCAUGCUGUACUUCUCCAGGUCCGAGGUGGCAGAGCUGCAGCUCCAGGCUGUGAGCUCACAUGAGCACAUCGCAGCCCGGCUCACAGAAGCCGUGCACACUAUGCUGUCCAGCCCCUUGGAGUACCUCCCUCCCUGGGAUCCCAAGGACUACAGUGCCCGCUGGAAUGAAAUCUAUGGGAACAACUUGGGUGCCCUGGCCAUGUUCUGUGUGCUGUACCCUGACAACAUUGAAGCCCGAGACAUGGCCAAAGACUACAUGGAGAGGAUGGCGGCGCAGCCUAGUUGGUAGAUUUUUGUCUUUUUCUUUUUUACUGUAUUCACUUUGUAGUUGAAAGAAAUGAAUUCAUACUCAAAUGAAACCUCAGAGGUCAGGUUUUCCUGUAUCUCCUUGUGUGUAUAUGUGUGCGUGGGGGGGGGGGUUGCUUGUUGCCUGUGGCUUAUGGAUGCCCCACAGGUUUGAAAGACGUGGUACUUUAUAGAAGUGAGUCAGCAGUGUCACACUUGA